rnacentral:lncRNA from 1 species
GCUCCCCAAGAGGAACUUUUAAAAACACGUGUACUUCGGUGGCCCCUGGGAUUUGUUGCACAGUGACUAAGGCAGCGGACUCUAGGGCUGUGUCCUCAGACCAGCAGCUCCGACCUCACCUGUGAACCUGCAGAAGCGGAAAUUCACAGGGGCCGCCCCCGGAGUCCGAAACUGGGGCUGGGGCCCAGCAGUCUGCGCCUUCCUGCGUCCAGGUGGUUGUGAUGCCGGCUCAGGCUUGAGACCAGAGCCUCUCCUGGAUUCCCUUCCUGGGCUCACCACUAACUUCUUGGGCUGAGAGAGUUAUUUAAAUAAGUUAGUGCUUUCGCAUCUGCAAAAUGGCAUAAUUAUGGCACCCUUUUCAUGGAGUCCUUAUGGGGAUUAGAGCUAGCUUAACAAAGUGGUUAAUGUGCUAUAAAUACCCAGCAUGAUGGAGGUGAUUUUAGCAUCUUCUUGGAAUGUUGUCUACUCAAACUGUGAGCUCCUUGAAGCCUACAGAUACUCAUCAAGCACCCCGUUCCUGCCAGACACAGCUUCCACGUGGUCUGUUUUUCAGUUCAGCACUGACACAGCAGCUAGAGCUAUGGCUUGGAUCAUGUCACACUCCUGCUCCCAGACCUUCAGGGCUCCAGCUCAAGGCAGGAAGAACUGGGACCUGGAAUGAAGCCAGCUGUGGGGCCAGAGAGGCUGGCUCAGCUGGGCAGAGGACACAGCCAGGCAGCUCCGUGGGACUGAUCAUAGGUGGAAGGUCUUGGAAGGAGUCACCACACUCAGGGAAGAUUCAAGACCUAGAGGUCAGAGGGAGGACUCAGUCCCCAGGGAGGGGCCCGCAAAUGAAUGGAGGGCCCUGCCCAGAAGACCUGACUCCUAGCCUGAGCAGGGCAAGUUGA